AAUUCUCACAUAAUGAUGCAAUCAUUGUAACUUUAAAUAUUAAAAAUUAUGAUAUAUGAUUCAUCCAUAUCGAUAAUAAAAGCUUGAUAGGUAUUUUAUUUUAUGAUGCUUUCUCUCAAAUAGAUAUACCCCUAGAGUAGCUAGGAUGAUUAGAUUCCCCUUUGGUGGGGUUUACUAGAGAUGCUGUGCCAGUUGAAGGGGUCAUAACCUUCCUUGUUAUGGCCGAAUGAUCUCUCCGACAAUCCA
rnacentral:lncRNA from 1 species